UUGAGAUAGUCACCAAGAGAAGCAGAAGCAGGAGAGGGGCAGGAGAGAGAAGGGGAGAAAAGAAUGCUAUAGAAGCCCAGAGUGAAGACUUGCUGGGGACUUGGAGGCCUCCUGGCCUCCUGGCCCCCAGGGACCCUUGCCUGCCGUGUACCUGUUUGCCACACUACAUGUAAAGCUCAAUAAAAGCCUGAGAAAGCCACCAAGGGCUCCAGGACUCUACCCCGGCCUGCUCAGAUCCUAGAUAUCCUGCUCUGCGGCCUUCCUGCCACUACAAUUGGCAUAAGUCGGCAAGAUAAUUCAAAGCAGACGGGUAUGGAACCCUUCAAAGACCUCAGGCGGGACUGAGGAGGAGCAGCCUUCGUUUGCCUGUGACAACGCUGGACGUGCCAUGGCAGCACAGAUGGUGAACAGAGUCCAGGAGCUGUGGAAAGAGCUAAAGAUGCUGCAGGAGCACAGGAGGUGGACAAGGUUUGGGAGCUGCGGGACGAGACCUCAAGUGGAGGAGGAGACAGCCUCCGAGGACCAGCCCAUGACCCCUGAGGCAGCAGAAUUGUAGGGGAAGAAAGGAGCACGAUUCAGACCUCGCCCAGUGCUGAGGCAGGAAAAGACUGAUGGACUUGGACUGACAAUCCCACCAGAAGGCAGAGGAACUUUGGCAGGGUGUAGAAUUUCCUUCACAGAAUUUCCUUCACCAGUGCACCCAUGCACCAUCAUAAGAUGAUGGACUGACAAGCACAAAAUUUACCUUCUAUAUUAGUGUCUUAUUGCUGGCCAUAAAACUCGAUGUGCCUGGGUUGGGAUGAAGACUUGAUCUCAAAACCACGUCUUUUUUUCUGAAGAUCUAUCUAAAUAGAAAACUCAAGUGGGGGAACUAUAACAUUUGAAAUGCUCCAUGACAAAAUACAAUGGCUAGGAUCUUAGGUAUCAAGAUAUAAAUGACUCUUACUGCCCAACUAGGUAGAGAUUGGAAAUUUUUAUUCAGAGUGUUGAUAAAAAUGAUUCUGCUUCAUGUUGACAUUUUACCUGCAAAUUCCAUGAGAAUUGAGAUGAUUUCUUCUUACUUUAGAGUCACCUAGUUAGAGCAGAGUGUGACUUACUUUUUGUUUGUUAAUGUCGGGAUAAAAUGUUUCAUACUACAUCUCUGUUCUCUAGUUUUAUUAAUCUGAGUGUGCAAUGGGGUGAUGCAGUAGGGAGGUCUUCAUUAACCAGAUUUAUUUUCUUAAUUUUAGCUUUAAAUCAUCUUAGGAGACCCAAUU